rnacentral:lncRNA from 1 species
AAGAAUUAAUGCACAAAAUCAAGAAAAUCCAAGAAAAUUUAAGAUACAAAAGUCAACUGAAAAUUAUUGGAAAGGGAGAAACCCAUUUCACCUGAAAUCAAAAUUAAAAAACGGUUUUGUCAAAAACCCAAAAUCCAUAAACAAACUGCAGCUGAAAAAUUGAGAGAGAAAUAAGCAAGGAGAUCAGAGACAGCCACAAAGCUUAAAAGAGGUAAAAACAAAGAUAUAAGAACAUUGUAGGAGAGAUGAAGAAAUGAAGUGGAUUGAGAUGAAGAAAUCUGCAAAAAAUGAAAACAGGGGAAAUCUUAUUAUAGGAAGAAAUACGGGGAGUAAAAUGGAAGCAAAUCCUAGUACGGGCGUAGUUCGUACCGCGUACAGCUAGGAGUGGGCAACGGGUAAAAA